rnacentral:rRNA from 1 species
AGUGAACGCUGGCGGUAGGCCUAACACAUGCAAGUCGAACGGCAGCACAGAGGAGCUUGCUCCUUGGGUGGCGAGUGGCGGACGGGUGAGGAAUACAUCGGAAUCUACUCUGUCGUGGGGGAUAACGUGGGGAAACUUACGCUAAUACCGCAUACGACCUACGGGUGAAAGCAGGGGAUCUUCGGACCUUGCGCGAUUGAAUGAGCCGAUGUCGGAUUAGCUAGUUGGCGGGGUAAAGGCCCACCAAGGCGACGAUACGUAGCUGGUCUGAGAGGAUGAUCAGCCACACUGGGACUGGGACACGGUCCAGACUCCUACGGGAGGCAGCAGUGGGGAAUAUUGGACAAUGGGCGCAAGCCUGAUCCAGCCAUACCGCGUGGGUGAAGAAGGCCUUCGGGUUGUAAAGCCCUUUUGUUGGGAAAGAAAUCCAUCUGGUUAAUACCCGGGUGGGAUGACGGUACCCGAAGAAUAAGCACCGGCUAACUUCGUGCCAGCAGCCGCAGUAA